CUUUCUUUCCCACGUUUAACCUCCUAUGUGCCAACUGCGUUCUUUUCUUCCCUCCCUCAUUAAUGGCGCCCUGAAAUACCUCCUUUCUUUGCCGUAUGCGAUCUUCUCCUCUCCCUCAGUAAUUGCACCCAAAAAAACUCACCAGCCCAGAAAAACUCACGAGCCAAAGCAAAAAUUAAUCUGCCCCUGUCUUCUUUCAUUCUCCUCUUCUCACUAACCAGCCAUGGGAUUCGAAUUCGAAGCAAGAACAAACGAAAACAAUAUAUUGGGACCGUUUCAAGUAGGCGAUCUUUUGAUUGGGGUGGAUCUUUUCUUUUGAAUUGCAAAAAAUGAAGCAGAGGAUAGCCUGCAAUCGUAGUCGAGAUCGGAUUUGUGUCGGCCUCUCCCUCAUUUUUUGCAGAAGAAAAUGAAAAAGGUCCCUGCAAAAUCCCACCGUUUGAAGCAGGGUGGUGGAUUAUUUGUCCAAUUAGGUAACGGAGAACAUCAACAGAUUGGGGAAUCCCAGCCAUCUUUCUCUCUCUACUCCGCAGUGUUUGCUCAUCCAUCAGCAAAAUCCGAAAUCUGCGCCGUCUUGCUGCUGAAAUCAGUCAACUUUUUGGCGCCGACGGUCUCAUUUUUUUCAAAUUGAAACUACCGCAUUCCAAGGACCCAAAUGUAGGGUUUUUCUUCCGGAAGUGGAACGUGCGGUUCAAGUUCUGGAAGAGGUUAAAGACUUAAAGAUGUUCCUGAUCCGGAGUACCUAUGAGAAUCAGGCCUGAGCUAUUUCUACUGCAGUUUUUCUCAACUCAGUUUCUCCGACCUGAAAUUUUGCGUACAAUUAUUAGGGGUGGUCAUUGGUUGUCGUCUACACACAACCUUAGAGAAGAAAAAACAGUCAUGUUUCGCCAUAUUUCAUGCUCUACUUUUGUUGAUCUUCCCUACUAUUUAGAUAAUUAUUCCUCCUCAGGUUCCUACUCUACAACCUGCAGUAUAGUUUGCUCAACAACCAGACAAUUUUGAGAUCUUUCAGUCCUCAUUCACUUGAUUGAAGUUGGUUUGAUAUCAUACAUCAGUACAGCUCAGUCACAACUCAAAGGUUAAUGGACUUGGACGACAGUACCAAUUAAGCAGUAUGUUUCAUCACCGUCUGCAGUUGCCAGUUGGACCAACUGUGAUGAAUAAGAGCUCAGGAGAUGAAUCAGGUCUUAAAAUCAGAAUCUAAUGGCACUUUAGCCUGCAUUGCACCAUGAGAAGGCAUACUCUUCAUAAUCAGCAUUAAUCGAAGGCCCGGGUUUAUAAAAUCAUAAACAUGAAGUGUCUGCAGUGUAGCAAGAUGUUGUUGCUGAUGAGGAAGGGUGGUUGACUUGAUGUUCUUGUGUUCUCCUGUGUCGGCUACAAGAAUAAUGAUGGACGCAUUUCAAAGAACAGAUUGUCCUUCCUCGAGUCUGAUGAGUAGAGAAGAGUGAGAGCUAUGCAUUUGCAAAAAACUUUAAAAAGCUUUGGCGGUCAAUUAAUAGGUCAAAUAUUUAUUAGCUUUGGAGUCUCUUGGAGCAUAUGAGCAAUGGAGCUUAUGGAGCAUCUGUCACCUCAAGGAUUGCUUUUUUGGUUUGCUUCAUGGAUUUGGCUUUGACUUGUUUCAGUUAUUGUGAAAUUAAUUGCAUGAAAAUGUAAUUGAAGGCUCCUUAGAUUAACCAUGAUGUUGCCUAUUAUUAACAUCGGCUUUUUGGCUCAAAUAUACUGAUUUGUGUUUGCAGUGAAUCUGUGAGUAGAGCAGCGAAGCAAUAAACAAAUGAGUAACCGUUUCUCUCGUACCAUCUAUGUUGGUAACCUACCUUCGGAUAUCAAAGAACGUGACAUUGAAGAUCUGUUUUACAAGUAUGGUCGUAUUUUGGAAGUUGAAACUAAAGUUCCACCUCGACCUCCUUGUUUUUGCUUCGUGGAGUUUGAGGGUCCCCGAGAUGCUGAUCAGGCAAUAAGGGGACGUGAUGGCUACAACUUUGAUGGUUGUCACCUAAGGGUUGAACUUGCACAUGGUGGACGGGGAUCAGGAUCAUCAAGCAGCUUGUAUAUUCUUCAGUUGGAUGACAAUUCCAAUUGCUCAUCAUUCUAUUUGUUGUAAGUACUCUUGUACCAACUAUUUUCUAUUCUUUUCUUAGUUUUUUGUGUCAUUGCCGAGUUCUUACAGAAACCAUUUUUUAAUGUAAUCAUUGCGCCCUUUGAAUUGAUGUACAACUAUACAAUCCAUAUACGGAGUAAGAAUUUAUCACUUGUACUAAUACAUAUUACAAUAGUAUAGGACAAUGGGUCAUUUGUAAAGAAUUUAAGUAGAAUUGUUUUGGAGUACAGAUCACCCCCCAGCUGCACUGAAGGUAUAUCUUUAUUUAAUAUCCUUCGUUAAGAUAUCCCUGCUUGAUAUUCAACGCUUUAGAGUUGAGAUGCUAAACAGCUAAAGUAACAAGAUGGUUGUAGGUAUGCAUUUUAUCACUCUCUACUAUUUUGGCUUAUGAUCUCAUAUAACUAAAAUGAAUCCAUUCACCAUUGCAAACUCCUGUUUACACAAUCGCUUCAAAUGUCGGUGUUGAGGGAGCUCUUAUUGUUGGAAAGCUAUUAGAGGAGGAUAACCAAUAUAUUGUUUACGAUCCUGCUAAAGGCGAAUAUGUAGACAUGGUCAAAUCAGGAAUCAUCGAUCAUUGAAGGUUAUUAGGACAACUUGUCUGAUUUUUCUAGUGUGUCAUCUUUGAUGACUACGUCGGAUGUUGUAAUUGUCGAGGCACCCAAAGAUGAGAAGGAUGUGGCUCCUGCAAUUGGUGGGGUGGGCGGUAUUACUUACUGAGUGGUUGACUAAAUACGCAAAGGAAACAUUUUCUUCACUUUUGCUGGAUUUUGUUAAUGCCCUUGUUAUGCUAGGAAGGAAAUUGUAUAAAACAUAGUGGGAGAAAAUAGUUUGUAGGUUUCCUGCGAAUGCAACCAAUAUUUUUUAUUGGGAUUGUGAUUGUAUCUCCAUUAAUUAUGGAAGAUUUGGCCAAAUUCGAUGUUGUAUUUAUCAUAGAAAUAUGCAACAAGUUUUUUAUCA